ACACAGAAAUGGCAGGUGGCAGCAGGGGGGUUUUACACAACCAGAACCACAGCUCAGAUGGCCUUAGUAACCACUGCUACCAUCUUCCACCGCCACACAAAAGUGGAAACUCAUGGCUCCUUUUCUGGGUGGUGGGAGCAUCCUGGAUGACAGGAUUUUUAGACAUCCCCACCAAGUCCACUGGCAGAAGAUAACCACCAGAUGGGACCUCAGAGAAAACCCCAACAGCUGACUCAUGAUACCGAAGAACAGUAUUGUUGGUUUUUAACCAACCAUCAUGAAUAUCGCUGGGAUUCAUAGGAACAAUGGCAGAGUCUUGGAAAUCUGGCAACUCAGUAACUAUGGAGGGGCAAAUCUGGAGACUCGCCCUGAAAACCAUUUGGUGACCCAUUUUCUGCACCAACCUCCCCUCUGCCGGAAUACCUACAGCAACCUCUGCCUUCUGACUCACAACCUUGACUAAUGCAAAGGCGUGUCUUCCCUUUGUAGGCUUCUUCACGGC